rnacentral:rRNA from 1 species
UACAGAGGGUGCAAGCGUUAAUCGGAAUUACUGGGCGUAAAGCGUGCGUAGACGGUUAUGUAAGUCGGGUGUGAAAGCCCCGGGCUCAAACCCUGGGAAUGCCAUUCGAGACUGCAUAGCUAGGGUGCGGAAGAGGGAAGCGGAAGUUUCCGGUGUGAGCGGUAGAAAUGCGCAGAUAUCAGGAGGAACACCGGUGGCGAAGGCGGGUCUCUGGGCCGAAUGACUGACGCUGGAGGAGCGAAAGCGUGGGGAGCAAACAGGA